GGACCCGCACAAGCGGUGGAGCAUGUGGUUUAAUUCGAAGCAACGCGAAGAACCUUACCAAGUCUUGACAUCCCUUUGACCGCGCUAGAGAUAGCGUUUCUCUUCGGAGCAAAGGAGACAGGUGGUGCAUGGUUGUCGUCAGCUCGUGUCGUGAGAUGUUGGGUUAAGUCCCGCAACGAGCGCAACCCUUAUGUUUAGUUGCCAUCAUUAAGUUGGGCACUCUAGACAGACUGCCGCAGAUAAUGCGGAGGAAGGUGGGGAUGACGUCAAAUCAUCAUGCCCCUUAUGACUUGGGCUACACACGUGCUACAAUGGCAAGUACAACGAGCAGCGAGCCGGCGACGGUAAGCGAAAUCUCUAAAAACUUGUCUCAGUUCGGAUUGCAGGCUGCAACUCGCCUGCAUGAAGUCGGAAUCGCUAGUAAUCGCGGAUCAGCACGCCG
rnacentral:rRNA from 1 species